rnacentral:rRNA from 1 species
UAGAGUUUGAUCCUGGCUCAGGAUGAACGCUAGCUACAGGCUUAACACAUGCAAGUCGAGGGGCAGCAUGGUCUUAGCUUGCUAAGGCCGAUGGCGACCGGCGCACGGGUGAGUAACACGUAUCCAACCUGCCGUCUACUCUUGGACAGCCUUCUGAAAGGAAGAUUAAUACAAGAUGGCAUCAUGAGUCCACAUGUUCACAUGAUUAAAGGUAUUCCGGUAGACGAUGGGGAUGCGUUCCAUUAGAUAGUAGGCGGGGUAACGGCCCACCUAGUCUUCGAUGGAUAGGGGUUCUGAGAGGAAGGUCCCCCACAUUGGAACUGAGACACGGUCCAAACUCCUACGGGAGGCAGCAGUGAGGAAUAUUGGUCAAUGGGCGAGAGCCUGAACCAGCCAAGUAGCGUGAAGGAUGACUGCCCUAUGGGUUGUAAACUUCUUUUAUAAAGGAAUAAAGUCGGGUAUGGAUACCCGUUUGCAUGUACUUUAUGAAUAAGGAUCGGCUAACUCCGUGCCAGCAGCCGCGGUAAUACGGAGGAUCCGAGCGUUAUCCGGAUUUAUUGGGUUUAAAGGGAGCGUAGAUGGAUGUUUAAGUCAGUUGUGAAAGUUUGCGGCUCAACCGUAAAAUUGCAGUUGAUACUGGAUAUCUUGAGUGCAGUUGAGGCAGGCGGAAUUCGUGGUGUAGCGGUGAAAUGCUUAGAUAUCACGAAGAACUCCGAUUGCGAAGGCAGCCUGCUAAGCUGCAACUGACAUUGAGGCUCGAAAGUGUGGGUAUCAAACAGGAUUAGAUACCCUGGUAGUCCACACGGUAAACGAUGAAUACUCGCUGUUUGCGAUAUACUGCAAGCGGCCAAGCGAAAGCGUUAAGUAUUCCACCUGGGGAGUACGCCGGCAACGGUGAAACUCAAAGGAAUUGACGGGGGCCCGCACAAGCGGAGGAACAUGUGGUUUAAUUCGAUGAUACGCGAGGAACCUUACCCGGGCUUAAAUUGCAGAUGAAUUACGGUGAAAGCCGUAAGCCGCAAGGCAUCUGUGAAGGUGCUGCAUGGUUGUCGUCAGCUCGUGCCGUGAGGUGUCGGCUUAAGUGCCAUAACGAGCGCAACCCUUGUUGUCAGUUACUAACAGGUUCCGCUGAGGACUCUGACAAGACUGCCAUCGUAAGAUGUGAGGAAGGUGGGGAUGACGUCAAAUCAGCACGGCCCUUACGUCCGGGGCUACACACGUGUUACAAUGGGGGGUACAGAGGGCCGCUACCACGCGAGUGGAUGCCAAUCCCCAAAACCUCUCUCAGUUCGGACUGGAGUCUGCAACCCGACUCCACGAAGCUGGAUUCGCUAGUAAUCGCGCAUCAGCCACGGCGCGGUGAAUACGUUCCCGGGCCUUGCACUCACCGCCCGUCA